GGGAACGCCGAACGGAUGACAGUCACCGAGAGAGUUUCAAUGGUGAUGUUAAACAAAUGCACCCGACAAAUAGCCUGACAGUUUUCAAGCCUCCUCGCAGCAGACCCAUCUCUCUCUCAGCUCCUUCCUAGCAGCAGACCUACUCCUGCAGACUCUCUCUCUCUCUCUCUACGUGAAGGCCUCCUCGAAAUAGACCCUACUCUCUGUCUCUACGCGAAGGGUUUUACCUGGAUCGAGCGAAGGCCUUUCUCUCCCUCUCACUCUCUCAUCUCUUCAUUGAGGCCUCCUCACAGCAGACCCUACUCUCUCUCUCUCUCUCUACGUGAAGGGUUUCACUUGGAUCGCAAGAAGGCCUUUCUCUCCAUCUCUCUUUCUUAGCUCGCUCCUCACAUGCCUCCUCGCAGCAGACCCUACUCUCUCUCUAUGUGAAGGGUUUCAAACUGUCAUUGGGUUUCACCUGGAUUGGAAAAACUGAGAAAUCAGGGAAAUCUGAGAUACAAAGAAAAAAGGAAAACUCCCUCCUCGCAAGCUACCAUCAAGAGCAGAGUCUCUCUCUCUUGAUUGUAGGGCUUUCUCUCCCUGGAUUGCAGGCCUCUCUCAGAAGAAAGCCCUCUCUCUCGCAGGCCUCUGGAUCGCAAACGAGGGCCUUUGCAUCUCAUUUUUUCGCCCUAAUCGAUUGAUGUAAACCCCUCAAACUGAAAGCGUUACAAAUUGGCUUCCUAGGAGGCAUUCAAGACCCAACAGAACUUGAGAAGGGCAUCAACAUGAUACCUAGACUCGUCAAGAAUGGUUUGUGUGCAUCAGAGAGAGAGAGAGAGGGAGAGAGAGACUUCAUUCUUGGCCUUUGAUUUUAAUGUCUGUAAUUCUUGUUCACAAUGGGGAUCUUUUAUCGUUUGGCAAUUGUCGCUGGUGUGGCAACAUUGCUGCUGAUCGUCAUUCAAGAUGGAGUUGAUGCCACUGUCAUGGACUUAACUGAGUUUAGGAAAGUUUUGGACAGUCAGAUGCAUGGAAAUUCACCUGUCCAAUUUGUUCUUUCUUUUGAUUGGUGAAGGAGGUAUGCAGAUUUGUAACUUAUGGUGCAGGACUCAGCAGCCUAAACAAUUAGAUACUAAGAAGCUACAACCCAGAAACAAUAGGUUUAUGGAAAAGAAUUUCUCAUUUAUUAUCUUCUUCUAUGGAUUUUUAAUAAUGGUUGGAUUCUUCUUUGGAGUUAAACUUAGAAAGUGUAAAUUUUAUUUUCUUAUGUAAAUUUUAUUUUGGUGAUAUUUUAUCCUUA